ACGAACGCUGGCGGCGUGGAUAAGACAUGCAAGUCGAACGAGAGAAUUGCUAGCUUGCUAAUAAUUCUCUAGUGGCGCACGGGUGAGUAACACGUGAGUAACCUGCCCCCGAGAGCGGGAUAGCCCUGGGAAACUGGGAUUAAUACCGCAUAGUAUCGAAAGAUUAAAGCAGCAAUGCGCUUGGGGAUGGGCUCGCGGCCUAUUAGUUAGUUGGUGAGGUAACGGCUCACCAAGGCGAUGACGGGUAGCCGGUCUGAGAGGAUGUCCGGCCACACUGGAACUGAGACACGGUCCAGACACCUACGGGUGGCAGCAGUCGAGAAUCAUUCACAAUGGGGGAAACCCUGAUGGUGCGACGCCGCGUGGGGGAAUGAAGGUCUUCGGAUUGUAAACCCCUGUCAUGUGGGAGCAAAUUAAAAAGAUAGUACCACAAGAGGAAGAGACGGCUAACUCUGUGCCAGCAGCCGCGGUAAUACAGAGGUCUCAAGCGUUGUUCGGAAUCACUGGGCGUAAAGCGUGCGUAGGCUGUUUCGUAAGUCGUGUGUGAAAGGCGCGGGCUCAACCCGCGGACGGCACAUGAUACUGCGAGACUAGAGUAAUGGAGGGGGAACCGGAAUUCUCGGUGUAGCAGUGAAAUGCGUAGAUAUCGAGAGGAACACUCGUGGCGAAGGCGGGUUCCUGGACAUUAACUGACGCUGAGGCACGAAGGCCAGGGGAGCGAAAGGGAUUAGAUACCCCUGUAGUCCUGGCAGUAAACGGUGCACGCUUGGUGUGCGGGGAAUCGACCCCCUGCGUGCCGGAGCUAACGCGUUAAGCGUGCCGCCUGGGGAGUACGGUCGCAAGAUUAAAACUCAAAGAAAUUGACGGGGACCCGCACAAGCGGUGGAGUAUGUGGCUUAAUUCGAUGCAACGCGAAGAACCUUACCUGGGCUUGACAUGUAAUGAACAACAUGUGAAAGCAUGCGACUCUUCGGAGGCGUUACACAGGUGCUGCAUGGCCGUCGUCAGCUCGUGUCGUGAGAUGUUUGGUUAAGUCCAGCAACGAGCGCAACCCCUGUUGCCAGUUACCAGCACGUGAAGGUGGGGACUCUGGCGAGACUGCCCAGAUCAACUGGGAGGAAGGUGGGGACGACGUCAGGUCAGUAUGGCCCUUAUGCCCAGGGCUGCACACGUACUACAAUGCCCAGUACAGAGGGGGCCGAAGCCGCGAGGCGGAGGAAAUCCUGAAAACUGGGCCCAGUUCGGACUGUAGGCUGCAACCCGCCUACACGAAGUCGGAAUCGCUAGUAAUGGCGCAUCAGCUACGGCGCCGUGAAUACGUUCCCGGGUCUUGUACACACCGCCCGUCACAUCAUGGAAGCCGGUCGCACCCGAAGUAUCUGAAGCCAACCGCAAGGAGGCAGGGUCCUAAGGUGAGACUGGUAACUGGGAUG
rnacentral:rRNA from 1 species